rnacentral:rRNA from 1 species
UACGAAGGGGGCUAGCGUUGUUCGGAAUUACUGGGCGUAAAGCGCGCGCAGGCGGGUCAUCAAGUCAGAGGUGAAAGCCCGGAGCUUAACUCCGGAAUAGCCUUUGAAACUGUUGGUCUUGAGUACGGGAGAGGUGAGUGGAAUUCCCAGUGUAGAGGUGAAAUUCGGUAAGAUAUUGGGAAGAACACCAGUGGCGAAGGCGGCUCACUGGCCCGUUACUGACGCUCAGGCGCGAUAGCGUGGGGAUCAAACAGG